GUCCAUUUUCUAAAGUAAACCAGCAAACCACAACUACAGAUGUGGUCCAAGAAGGCUUUGCUAUUCUGACACAACCAGGAAGUGCAAACAUUUAGAAAAUGAGCCAGCCUUCAUUCCAGGUGACCAGAUGAGUCCUUAAGAACUGGGAAGGCCAAAGAAACGAAGAGGCAAAACAUCAGAAAACCGGUGAGGACGGCAGGAGGCCCGCUUCCUGAACACAGGACCUGUGGUCAGACGUGAGGCGCUGCAAGAGUGCUCUCGGCUCCAGUUCCUGGCCUCUUGGCCCGGUCUAUCCGCAGAGCAGGGCUGCCCGCUGCCUGAUUAACGAGUAUAGCAAGAAAGCCAUCAGUUUGUGCCUGGAGGGGCUGUUUGUCACCUAGACCAGCUCAGCAGGGGGCGCUGUGGCAUAGCAGCAGGAAGAGGACUGGCUGCACUUCCAUGCGACCACCUCGGCACUUGCUUGAAAGUCAACAGUGGCCGACAGACUUCACUGCCCUUCUUGAAAUCUCAGUAGCUGAAGUAGGGUGUGUGCGCCCUGGGCUUCUCUGCAGUGUGACAUCGACCCCUGGAGGACACUUCCAGCACGCCCUCUGCUCCCUGUGGUCAGGGUUGUCUCCUGUACUGCCUCUGCCCGACUUCCUGCCGCCUUCCCGUGGGAGAGGAGGCGAUUGCGCUGGCUUUGCUUGACAUCUUCCCUAACUUGCAGUAUUUCAUUUGCACGGUAUCUGGGGUCCGUCCACCUCUUGGCCUCUUGGACUGUUGCAGUGGUGACCCUGCGGCCUCAGGCCGCACUGUUAAAUCUUGUGGGUCGCUAUGGCAGGCAUGCCUACGUCAAAAGACACAUUGUUUCAUUUACUUCCCCUUUAUUUCUCCAGCAUACAAAAUGAAGGCGUUAUAUUGCUUUUUUGUAUCUAUGAGUCCGUUUGAAAGUAGAGAAGGAACAUCACAAAACCUGUCAUGGGAGGGGCGUUGGGUCAGUGAUGGCUCAUGCUCCUGCUGUUCUCAGGGGUGCGGGCAUCUUCAUGGGCUCUCUUAAAACCUAAAUGCUUGAAGCUCUUCAAAGAAUCCAUUCCUCAGGCUGGGCGUAGGUCAGCGCUGGAGCAUGUGCUUGUGAACGCAGGUUCCACCUUCAGCACACACACACACACACACACACACACACACACACUCACACACAUAAUUCUAAUGGGGUUGGAUUUUGGAAAACGGGCACAGAGAGAUUCAGGAGAGUGGGACAAUUUUCCAUCUCACCCUCAGACCUACCUCGCAGAGGGCCCAGGAAAAUGCUGCUGAUGAGCCGGGCCCAGGCCUGGGGUGAAAGGGUGGUCCAGCCGUGGCGGUGAUCUCCCCUGUCCUGGGCUUUUGAAAGGGAAGGGCAUUGCUUGUCCUCAAGCAGAGGCCAGGGGCCGCCUGGUCCUGGCUUGGCCCCUUGGGCAGUGCCCGUUACCCCGUGUUCAAGCCUGUUUCCCGGGCCACGCUGCUGAGAUGAGGCUACUUGAGAAGAGCUCGGCCUCGUGUCCUGAGGGUGUUGGUUACUCCCCACCACUGGUGGCCUGGGCCCUGGCUCGGGAUGCCUGCGCG